UCAUCUCCGGGGGUAGAGCACUGUUUCGGCUAGGGGGCCAUCCCGGCUUACCAACCCGAUGCAAACUGCGAAUACCGGAGAAUGUUAUCACGGGAGACACACGGCGGGUGCUAACGUCCGUCGUGAAGAGGGAAACAACCCAGACCGCCAGCUAAGGUCCCAAAGUCAUGGUUAAGUGGGAAACGAUGUGGGAAGGCCCAGACAGCCAGGAUGUUGGCUUAGAAGCAGCCAUCAUUUAAAGAAAGCGUAAUAGCUCACUGGUCGAGUCGGCCUGCGCGGAAGAUGUAACGGGGCUAAACCAUGCACCGAAGCUGCGGCAGCGAACGUAUCACUUAAAGCGAUUCAGCGGGUUACGAUUGACGGAGCGAAGCGACGUCAAAGCGUAUACAAAGUCGAGUCGGUUUAAGGAUACGUUCGUUGGGUAGGGGAGCGUUCUGUAAGCCUGUGAAGGUGGCCUGUGAGGGUUGCUGGAGGUAUCAGAAGUGCGAAUGCUGACAUAAGUAACGAUAAAGCGGGUGAAAAGCCCGCUCGCCGGAAGACCAAGGGUUCCUGUCCAACGUUAAUCGGGGCAGGGUGAGUCGACCCCUAAGGCGAGGCCGAAAGGCGUAGUCGAUGGGAAACGGGUUAAUAUUCCCGUACUUGGUGUUACUGCGAAGGGGGGACGG
rnacentral:rRNA from 1 species